rnacentral:rRNA from 1 species
UACAGAGGGGGCAAGCGUUGUUCGGAAUCACUGGGCGUAAAGGGCGCGUAGGCGGCCAACUAAGUCAGACGUGAAAUCCCCAGGCUCAACCUGGGAACUGCGUCUGAUACUGGAUGGCUUGAGUUCGGGAGAGGGAAGUGGAAUUCCCGGUGUAGCGGUGAAAUGCGCAGAUAUCGGGAGGAACACCAAUGGCGAAGGCAGCUUGCUGGGACGGUACUGACGCUGAGACGCGAAAGCGUGGGGAGCAAACAGG